UACGUAGGGUGCGAGCGUUAUCCGGAAUUACUGGGCGUAAAGGGUGUGCAGGCGGGGUUUCAAGUGGUGUAUGAAAUAUCCCAGCUUAACUGGGAGGGGUUAUGCCAGACUGCAACUCUAGAGGACGAGAGAGGGGGGUGGAAUUCCGGGUGUAGUGGUGAAAUGCGUAGAGAUCCGGAGGAACCCCAGAGGCGAAGGCGGCCCCCUGGCUCGUACCUGACGCUCAGCCACGAAAGCAUGGGGAGCGAACGGG
rnacentral:rRNA from 1 species